rnacentral:rRNA from 1 species
UGGGGAAACUCAGGCUAAUACCGCAUACGUCCUACGGGAGAAAGCAGGGGAUCUUCGGACCUUGCGCUAUCGGAUGAGCCCAUGUCGGAUUAGCUUGUUGGUGAGGUAAUGGCUCACCAAGGCGACGAUCCGUAGCUGGUCUGAGAGGAUGAUCAGCCACACUGGGACUGAGACACGGCCCAGACUCCUACGGGAGGCAGCAGUGGGGAAUAUUGGACAAUGGGCGAAAGCCUGAUCCAGCCAUGCCGCGUGUGUGAAGAAGGCCUUCGGGUUGUAAAGCACUUUCAGCGAGGAAGAACGCCUUGGGAUUAA